AAAUUAAAAUUUUCCAAUUUAUAUCCCACUCAGUAGAUUUUUCCGCGCAUCUCCCUCUUCUCCCCCAUUUGUGCCCUUCAGAGAACGUUGUCUUCCUCCCUCACUCCUAUCCAAAUCCUCUCCCUCCGCCGCCACCGCCUCUGCUUCCUCUCAACUCACCAUCCUUCCCUCCUUUCAACACUUUUGCUCCCUCUCCAUUCUUUGCCGCAUGUUCGUGUCUCUCUCUCACAUUUUGGGUUUGUAAUUUAUUUUUGUUAGAGCUAGGAGAAAGUUUGAGUGUUCAUAUAUGAGUGAUGCUAGGAGAUAGGCCAUCAAAGUUUUUGAUUAGCAAGAAUCAGAUCAUGGGAGGGAAGGAUUUUGAGUAUGAUGAUGAGGCCAUGGAAUGAAAAGUUUAGAUUUUUAUGCUUUUGAUAAGAUUACUUGUUGCACGUCAUCUUCUGUUUAACUGUGGUUGAGUGUGGACCUUGUAAGCUUCUGUGGUUGGCUUUUCUUAAAGGUUAGAUGUUUAACUUCAUGUGGCUUUCAAAUUCCAGCUCUCAGGGUGGGAAGAUUUGUGAUAAUUUUUUACUUUAUCUUAAUACCAUGUACUUACUGUAACCUUGGAGUCGUAGGGGAAAAGGAAGACAUUGCAGGCUUCUUAGUUCUUACUUCAGAGCUAUGUAAAAGGAUAGGUGAAUAUGAAUUAGGAUUGACUUGCAACAACAAAUUAAGAAGCUAAUUCAAGGGGGAGUUUAGGUGUGGUUUUAUAGGCUUUUGGCUCCAAGGAGAGGGACAAAACACAGAGAGAAGAGAGGAAGACCCUGUAAUUUGGUUCUCUCUCUUUCCUCUCCAUCCUAGUUGGUGAGGUUUUUUUAGUGUUGCUUCUAUAUUUUCAUCAAUGAUAUAACUAUUUAAAAAA